CAGGAAAUAGUUUAAUAUAAAAUUUUAAUUUUGGAGAUUAAAGAUAAGGAGUAAUCUUUUUUCCUGA
rnacentral:tRNA from 1 species